AAAGAAACCAACAGGGAUUGCCCUAGUAACGGCGAGUGAAGCGGCAACAGCUCAAAUUUGAAAUCUGGCUUCGGCCCGAGUUGUAAUUUGCAGAGGAAGCUUUAGGCGCGGCACCUUCUGAGUCCCCUGGAACGGGGCGCCAUAGAGGGUGAGAGCCCCGUAUAGUUGGAUGCCUAGCCUGUGUAAAGCUCCUUCGACGAGUCGAGUAGUUUGGGAAUGCUGCUCAAAAUGGGAGGUAAAUUUCUUCUAAAGCUAAAUACCGGCCAGAGACCGAUAGCGCACAAGUAGAGUGAUCGAAAGAUGAAAAGCACUUUGAAAAGAGGGUUAAAUAGCACGUGAAAUUGUUGAAAGGGAAGCGCUUGUGACCAGACUUGCGCCGGGCAGAUCAUCCGGUGUUCUCACCGGUGCACUCUGCCCGGCUCAGGCCAGCAUCGGUUCUCGCGGGGGGAUAAAGGCCCUGGGAACGUAGCUCCUCCGGGAGCGUUAUAGCCCGGGGCGUAAUGCCCUCGCGGGGACCGAGGUUCGCGCAUCUGCAAGGAUGCUGGCGUA
rnacentral:rRNA from 1 species